CCCGGGCCUUGUACACACCGCCCGUCACACCACGAAAGUCGGCAAUACCCGAAGCCGGUGUGCUAACCCGCAAGGGAGGCAGCCGUCGAAGGUAGGGGUCGGUGAUUGGGGUG
rnacentral:rRNA from 1 species